AAUCCCCCUUCAUUGAGUGUUACUAGGGCAUCUCCCUUCCUAAACUGUUAUUAAGGAAUCCCCCUUCCAUUAGUUUGUUUAGGGCAUCCCCGUUCCUUGAGUUUCUUAGGGCACCCCUUUCCCUUGAGUUACUUUAGGGCUUCACCUUCCUUAAGUUUCUUAGUCUCUUUUCAUGAAGAUUGUUUAAUUCAUUCUCCUUUUUGGAGUUUGUGUAAAGGAUCCCCCUUGCUUGAGUUUGUGGCACCCCCCUUCCAAGAGUUGAUUUAGUGCACUCCCACUUCCUUAAGAUUCAUAGUGCAUCUGCCUCUUGGAGUUUGUUAAGCCCCUCCCCUUUUUUGAGAUUUUUUUUUUUUGGCACAUCUCCCUUUGUUGAGUUUGUCUAGGGCAUUUCCCUUCUUAGAGUUUGUUUAAGGUGUCCGCUUUCCUCGAGUUUUAAUAGGGCAUCCCCCUUCCUUUAGUUUGUUUUAUGCAUCCAUGUUCCUUGAGUUUCCUUAGGCCAUCCCACUCCCUUGAGUUACAUUAGGGCGUCACCCUUGCUUUAGUUUCUUAGGUCAUUCUUUUUCAUGGAAAUUUUGUAAUUCAUUCCCUUUCCAAGAGUUUGUUUAGAGCAUCCCCCUUCCUUGAGUUUGUUAAUGACAUCCCCUUCCCAAAUUUUGUUAAGAGAAUCCCCCUUCUUUGAGUUUCAUUAGCGCAUCCCCCUUCAUUGAGUCUUGUUAGCACAUCACUUCUUUGAGUUUGUUUACAACAUUCUCCCUCCAUAUCUUUGUUUAAGGCAUCCCCCUUCCUUGAGUCUUAUUAAGACGUCCCACUAUCCCUUAGUUUCUUUAUAGAAUAUCUAUUCCUCGAGUUUGUUUAAUGUUUGUGCUCUCUUCCUUGAGAAUUUUUUUAGUGCAUCCCCCUUCCUAGAGUUUGUUUAGGGCAACCUAAUUCUUAGAGUUACUUAUGG
rnacentral:lncRNA from 1 species